CCUGGCCUUGACAUACUAAGAACUUUCCAGAGAUGGAUUGGUGCCUUCGGGAACUUAGAUACAGGUGCUGCAUGGCUGUCGUCAGCUCGUGUCGUGAGAUGUUGGGUUAAGUCCGCAACGAGCGCAACCCUUUUCCUUAUUUGCCAGCGGGUAAUGCCGGGAACUUUAAGGAUACUGCCAGUGACAAACUGGAGGAAGGCGGGGACGACGUCAAGUCAUCAUGGCCCUUACGGCCAGGGCUACACACGUGCUACAAUGGUCGGUACAAAGGGUUGCUACCUCGCGAGAGGAUGCUAAUCUCAAAAAGCCGAUCGUAGUCCGGAUCGCAGUCUGCAACUCGACUGCGUGAAGUCGGAAUCGCUGGUAAUCGCGGAUCAGAAUGCCGCGGUGAAUACGUUCCCGGGCCUUGUACACACCGCCCGUCACACCAUGGGAGUUUGUUGCACCAGAAGUAGGUAGUCUAACCGCAAGGAGGACGCUUACCACGGUGUGGCCGAUGACUGGGGUGAAGUCGUAACAAGGUAAGCGUAGAUGA
rnacentral:rRNA from 1 species